rnacentral:rRNA from 1 species
GUCGAGCGGACCGAAGGGAGCUUGCUCCUUUAGGUUAGCGGCGGACGGGUGAGUAACACGUGGGCAACCUGCCCUGCAGACUGGGAUAACUUCGGGAAACCGGAGCUAAUACCGGAUAACACCGAAAACCGCAUGGUUUUCGGUUGAAAGGCGGCUUUUAGCUGUCACUGCAGGAUGGGCCCGCGGCGCAUUAGCUAGUUGGUGAGGUAACGGCUCACCAAGGCGACGAUGCGUAGCCGACCUGAGAGGGUGACCGGCCACACUGGGACUGAGACACGGCCCAGACUCCUACGGGAGGCAGCAGUAGGGAAUCUUCCGCAAUGGACGAAAGUCUGACGGAGCAACGCCGCGUGAGCGAAGAAGGUCUUCGGAUCGUAAAGCUCUGUUGUCAGGGAAGAACAAGUACCGUUCGAACAGGGCGGUACCUUGACGGUACCUGACGAGGAAGCCACGGCUAACUACGUGCCAGCAGCCGCGGUAAU